UGGGGAAUUUUGGGCAAUGGGCGAAAGCCUGACCCAGCAACGCCGCGUGAAGGAUGAAGUAUUUCGGUAUGUAAACUUCGUAAGAAUAGGAAGAAUAAAUGACGGUACUAUUUGUAAGGUCCGGCUAACUACGUGCCAGCAGCCGCGGUAAUACGUAGGGACCAAGCGUUGUUCGGAUUUACUGGGCGUAAAGGGCGCGUAGGCGGUGUGUCAAGUCAGUUGUGAAAUCUCCGAGCUUAACUUGGAACGGUCAACUGAUACUGUCACACUAGAGUACAGAAGGGGCAAUCGGAAUUCUUGGUGUAGCGGUGAAAUGCGUAGAUAUCAAGAGGAACACCUGAGGUGAAGACGGGUUGCUGGGCUGACACUGACGCUGAGGCGCGAAAGCCAGGGGAGCAAACGGGAUUAGAUACCCACGUAGUCCCUGAGCGGGCUGGCAAGGCGCAU
rnacentral:rRNA from 1 species